rnacentral:rRNA from 1 species
CUAAGAAUCUUCCGCAAUGGGCGAAAGCCUGACGGAGCGACGACGCGUGGACGAUGAAGGCCGAAAGGUUGUAAAGUCCUUUUCUCUGUGAAGAAUAAGGGUGGGAGGAAAUGCCUGUCUGAUGACGUUAGCAGAGGAAUAAGCCCCGGCUAAUUACGUGCCAGCAGCCGCGGUAAUACGUAAGGGGCGAGCGUUGUUCGGAAUUAUUGGGUGUAAAGGGUGCGUAGGCGGUUUGACAAGUCUGGUGUUGAAGGCUACAGCUUAACUGUGGUUUGGCGCUGGAAACUGUCAGACUUGAGUUUAGGAGGGGGAUCUGUAAUUCCAGGUGUAGGGGUGAAAUCUGUAGAUAUCUGGAAGAACACCGGUGGCGAAGGCGAGCUCCUAGCCAUAGACUGACGCUGAGGCACGAAAGCGUAGGGAGCGAACA